GUGAGUCAUCGAAUCUUUGAACGCAUAUUGCGCUCGAGACCUCGGUCAAGAGCAUGUCUGGCUCAGCGUCGGCUCACCCCCUCGCACCCCUCCCACUCUCUGUCCGCAGAGGGCGGUGUCGGGCUGCGGACCUGGCCGUCUCUGUUCCCCUUUGAGGGCGCAGGGUCGGCUGAAGAUCAGAGGCUUGAGCAUGGUCCCGCUGAAAGGGCGCCAGCUUGGUAGGGUAGCUCACGCUCCAUGCCGCUGUCGCUCCCAGGGUCCGUGCUGUAAAGUCGGCAGGAAUCAGUGGGGUCCGCUCCA
rnacentral:misc_RNA from 1 species